rnacentral:lncRNA from 10 species
UUUCAGUUCAAUGAUGAAUCACAUUAUUAUACUUAGUGUGUUUGAGUCAUUUUUUAUUUUAAUAUUUAAAUUAUUUUUAGAAUAAUUUUAGAUUUACUGGAAAAUCACAGAAACAGUACAGCACAUUCUCACAGACCUUUCAUCCAGUUUCCUCUAAUGUUGAUACCUUAUAUAAUCAUAACACACUGUCAAAACAAAUAAAUUAACAUUGGUAUAUCGUUAUUAACUAAACUACAAACUUUAUUGAGAUUUCCACUAACACCAUUUGUCCCAUGAUCCAACCCAAUAUAUUGUAUUCCAUUUAGAUUUGGACCAUUUGGAGGAAGUAGAGUGAGCAUUUGAAAAAAUGGUAUUUAUGUCAACCAGACCUGGAGUUCAAGGUCAGUAAUUGUAUAAUUUAUACAUUUGGUUAUGUAGUUUAACUACACUGAAACUUCUUUUCUUCAUUUUCAAAACAAAUUGGUAUAGUAUGUAAUAUAUUUUUCAAAGAGACAUUGUAAGGAUUUAAUAAAAUGAGUGAUGUAAACUUUUUAUUUACACAGUGCCUGACAUGUAAACUCUAAAUCUGUUCAAUCCCUAGUGGAGUCUUAAGUUUUAUUUUCACAAAUUCAAUUGUAAAUUAAAAAGGACUUAUAAAACAAAAUGUUCUAAAAUGGACCUGAAUUAUAUGAUUUUAUUUUACUAAAAACAGAAUAAUCACAUACGAUGUGGAGAGUCACUUGGUGAUUGUAAUAACUUCAUACUUACUGGGUUUGAAGAUUGCUUCAUGUGUCUGUUUGAGGGACAGUAUUGCAAAACAUAGGUGAAAGUCACUACCGAAGGAAUGAUCUAAUAAUGGUUAAAGUUAGAGAAAUAAUUCAUUAUUUGAUCAAAAUAACUAUUUCACUUAUAAUUCUAAUAUAACAACUAAAUGAAAAACCAGUCCUCAUUUACCUGCAAUAUUACUAGCAAUUUAUUCAAAGAUGACGUUACAAGUUGUAACUUAGAUUUUGCACUAAAAAUUGUUCUGUACCGUGAAUUGUAAAAUUGCUACUUUGAAUAAGAAUACAUUUUCACCUUUCAUAAAACUGAUAGUUAUUAUUUCAGCAUAGCUACCAAUAAAUCUAGUUCAUUUUAAACUACUUAUUUUUACUUAUUUUGUUUUUUGCUUCAUCACAAUAAUAACCUUUAUUUUAUUAAAAUCAGUCAGACUGUAACAGAUACAUGAAAUUUCAUUAUAUUAGAACACAUUCCUGCGUGAUUUUCAUAAUGAUCACAGCAAUUUUUCUAGUUAUUCCAAAAGAUUGCUUGCUCUAGCAUACUUACCAAAAGGAGCUGUUAUUGCAAUAAAUCUGUUAUAUGUUCAGAAUGACAAUUAAUGUGAUUUGGAAUAAUGGGAGAAGAGAGUUAGUUAUAAAAGAUGCAUUUUGAAUAAUGACUGCCUAACCAAUAUCGGGAAAAAGGGAGAAGAAAUUGGUGAAAGAAGUAUCUGGAAUUAUUGUUUUAGGAGGCAGUAAAACAUGAUAGUAUAAAGAAAUCAUAAGAAAACCCCUAUUUAUCCUAUAUGCAUUUAAUUUUUCUCUUGAUUACAAUGUGAAUAUUAAAAACUAUCAUCUCUAGACUGAAGAAGGUAGAUCAUUUAUUUUCCCUAUAUAUCUUUAUAUUGUUUGAAU